GAGAUCAGAGAAGAGACGAGAUGGGAACUCAAAAUCUGCCAAAUCAGAAUCUGUCCACACACACCGUCUUAAGAUGUUUACUUCAGUGUAUAUUCCGCUGGGUGAAGAUGUUGAAGUUUCCAGAAAACACACAGAUGUCUACACACGCUCCCGUGUGUGUGGGUCUCUACUGCAGGUCAAAGGUCAUGAUGAAACAGGACGUGGGAACAGGGCGGCAGGAAAUGGAGGCUGUUCCUCUGAGUGUUUAUCUGGCCAGAAAAACAACAGAAAGAAGGAGAAGAACAGAUGGAGAGAGACUGUUCUCUAGAGUAUUCUUACAUGACACACGUUUGAUUCAAUUAUCAUAAGUGUUUUUAUGUGGAAAUACAGAAUUGUGAACUGAA